rnacentral:tRNA from 1 species
ACCUGGGUGGCUCAGUUGGUUGAGUGUCUGACUUUGGCUCAGGUCAUGAUCUCACAGUUCGUGGGUUUGAACCCCGUGUCAGGCU